rnacentral:misc_RNA from 1 species
GAUGAAGAACGCAGCGAAAUGCGAUACGUAAUGUGAAUUGCAAAUUCAGUGAAUCAUCGAGUCUUUGAACGCACAUUGCGCCCCCUAGUAUUCCGGGGGGCAUGCCUGUCCGAGCGUCAUUGCUGCCCUCAAGCACGGCUUGUGUGUUGGGCCCCGUCCUCCGAUCCCGGGGGACGGGCCCGAAAGGCAGCGGCGGCACCGCGUCCGGUCCUCGAGCGUAUGGGGCUUUGUCACCCGCUCUGUAGGCCCGGCCGGCGCUUGCCGAUCAACCCAAAUUUUUAUCCAGGUUGACCUCGGAUCAGGUAGGGAUACCCGCUGAACUUAAGCAUAUCAAUAAGCGGAGGA